CAGUAGCCGCGGUAACACGUAGGUCCCGAGCGUUGUCCGGAUUUAUUGGGUGUAAAGCGAGCGCAGGCGGUUAGAUAAGUCUGAAGUUAAAGGCUGUGGCUUAACCAUAGUACGCUUUGGAAACUGUUUAACUUGAGUGCAGAAGGGGAGAGUGGAAUUCCAUGUGUAGCGGUGAAAUACGUAGAUAUAUGGAGGAACACCGGUGGCGAAAGCGGCUCUCUGGUCUGUAACUGACGCUGAGGCUCGAAAGCGUGGGGAGCGAACAGGAUUAGAUACCCCCGUAGUCCCUGUCUCUUAUACA
rnacentral:rRNA from 1 species